AUCUCAAAUCAAGUAAGAAGACCUGCUGAAUUGAA
rnacentral:rRNA from 3 species